AGAAUCAACGCUGGCGGCGUGCCUAACACAUGCAAGUCGCACGAGAAAGUGGAGCAAUCCACGAGUAAAGUGGCGCACGGGUGAGUAACACGUGAAUAAUCUACCUCCGAGUGGGGGAAUAACUGAGAGAAAUCUUAGCUAAUACCGCAUAAUACCCACGGGUCAAAGCAGCAAUGCGCUUGGAGAGGAGUUCGCGGCCGAUUAGCUAGUUGGCGGGGUAAUGGCCCACCAAGGCGAUGAUCGGUA
rnacentral:rRNA from 1 species